rnacentral:rRNA from 1 species
UACGUAGGGAGCAAGCGUUGUCCGGAAUCAUUGGGCGUAAAGCGCGCGUAGGUGGCCCCAUAAGUCCGCUGUGAAAGUCAAAGGCUCAACCUUUGAAAGCCGGUGGAUACUGUGGGACUAGAGUACGGAAGAGGCGAGUGGAAUUCCUGGUGUAGCGGUGGAAUGCGCAGAUAUCAGGAGGAACACCAGUGGCGAAGGCGGCUUCCUGGCCUGUUCUUGACGCUGAGGCGCGAAAGCUAGGGUAGCAAACGGG